UUGAUUGAAGUUAGUGAUUUUUUAAUGCAUUUAACACAGCAUUUACAACUGGAAGUAGCUCUGGAGGUGAUAAGGAAAUACUGGUGCAACACCUGCUUGUCAAAGAAAAUGAUCUUAACCUUUUAGUGGAGCUUCAAAAAAGGGUUGCAGGAGGGGAGGAUUUAAGUGAUCUUGCUGUGGAAUACUCUAUAUGCCUAUCAAAAGAAGAGGGUGGGGUGCUUGGCUGGGUCAGAAAAGGACAAAUGGUACCAGAAUUUGAAGAGGCUGCAUUUUCUGCACCAUUAGACAAAGUUGUAAGAUGUAAAACAAAUUUCGGAUGGCACUUGCUUCAAGUCAUAUCCGAGAGGUUAGUUCAUUUCAGAUUUACUUGUUUAGGCCUGAAAGGUAACUGAUUUACAUUCUUGAUUCUGUACCUUUUUAUUGGCAACAUUGCUUUAGGGAAGAGGCGUUGCUUGGUGAAGUUCAACCAAGUGAGUUGAAUGAGAAACUUCAAGAUCCCAAUUUCACAGAAACAACACAACUGAUCGAUGUCCGAGAGCCAGAAGAAAUGUAUGUCUUUUUUCUGCUGCUUUUUAGAUGGUUCUAUGCAUUACAGUUCGAUCAAUAUCUCUUGUUCUCUGAGUUGCUUGUUUUUAUUAAAAUGCCCAA